rnacentral:rRNA from 1 species
GGGGCACAAGCCGUCGAGCAUGUGGUUUAAUUCGAUGCAACGCGAAGAACCUUACCGGAAACAGACAUACGAAGAACUGUCCAGAGAUGGAUUGGUGCCUUCGGGAACUUACAUACAGGUGCUGCAUGGCUGUCGUCAGCUCGUGUCGUGAGAUGUUGGGUUAAGUCCCGCAACGAGCGCAACCCUUUUCCUUAUUUGCCAUCGGGUUAAGCCGGGAACUUUAAGGAUACUGCCAGUGACAAACUGGAGGAAGGCGGGGACGACGUCAAGUCAUCAUGGCCCUUACGACCAGGGCUACACACGUGCUACAAUGGUCGGUACAAAGGGUUGCUACCUAGCGAUAGGAUGCUAAUCUCAAAAAGCCGAUCGUAGUCCGGAUUGGAGUCUGCAACUCGACUCCAUGAAGUACAAAUCGCUAGUAAUCGCGGAUCAGAAUGCCGCGGUGAAUACGUUCCCGGGCCACA